UGGGGGAUAUUGCACAAUGGGCGAAAGCCUGAUGCAGCGACGCCGCGUGGGGGAUGAAGGCCUUCGGGUUGUAAACUUCUUUUGCUCUGAACAAGGCAUGCUAAUGGGUGUGUUGAGUGUAGGGGUUGAUUAGCGCCGGCUAACUACGUGCCAGCAGCCGCGGUAAUACGUAGGGCGCGAGCGUUGUCCGGAAUUAUUGGGCGUAAAGGGCUUGUAGGUGGCUGGUUGCGUCUGUCGUGAAAGCUCAUGGCUUAACUGUGGGUUUGCGGUGGGUACGGGCUGGCUUGAGUGCAGUAGGGGAGGCUGGAAUUCCUAGUGUAGCGGUGGAAUGCGCAGAUAUCAGGAGGAAUACCGGUGGCGAAGGCGGGUCUCUGGGCUGUUACUGACACUGAGGAGCGAAAGCAUGGGGAGCGAACAGG
rnacentral:rRNA from 1 species